UUCGGGGACAUUGGUGACAGGUGGUGCAUGGUUGUCGUCAGCUCGUGUCGUGAGAUGUUGGGUUAAGUCCCGCAACGAGCGCAACCCUUGUCUUUAGUUGCCAUCAUUAAGUUGGGCACUCUAGAGAGAGGGAGAGGGAAAUGGAGAAAGAGGGGAAGACGUCAAAUCAUCAUGCCCCUUAUGCUUAGGGCUACACACGUGCUACAAUGGGUAGUACAGAGGGUUGCCAAGCCGUAAGGUGGAGCUAAUCCCUUAAAGCUACUCUCAGUUCGGAUUGUAGGCUGAAACUCGCCUACAUGAAGCUGGAGUUACUAGUAAUCGCAGAUCAGAAUGCUGCGGUGAAUGCGUUCCCGGGUCUUGUACACACCGCCCGUCACACCACGGGAGUUGGAGACGCCCGAAGCCGAUUAUCUAACCUUUGGGAAGAAGUCGUCGAAGGUGGAAUCAAUAACUGGGGUGAAGUCGUAACAAGGUAGCCGUAUCGGAAGGUGCGGCUGGAUCACCUCCUUUCUAAGGA
rnacentral:rRNA from 1 species